CGAAGGUGGCAAGCGUUACUCGGAAUUACUAGGCGUAAAGGGCAGGUAGGUGGUUUGAUAAGUCUGCUGUGAAAGCUCCUGGCUCAACUGGGAGAGGCCAGCAGAUACUGUCAGGCUUGAGUAUGAGAGAGGGUACUGGAAUUCCCGGUGUAGCGGUGAAAUGCGCAGAUAUCGGGAGGAACACCGAUGGCGAAAGCAGGUACCUGGACCAUUACUGACACUAAGCUGCGAAAGCUAAGGGAGCAAACAGGAUUAGAUACCCUGGUAGUCUUAGCUGUAAACGAUGCACAUUAGGCGUGGGAGGUAUCGACCCCUCCUGUGCCGACGCUAACGCAUUAAAUGUGCCGCCUGGGGAGUACGGCCGCAAGGUUG
rnacentral:rRNA from 1 species